GAGUUUGAUCCUGGCUCAGAGUGAACGCUGGCGGCAGGCCUAACACAUGCAAGUCGAGCGGCAGCGCGGGGGCAACCCUGGCGGCGAGCGGCGGACGGGUGAGGAAUGCGUCGGAAUCUGCCUCUUUGUGGGGGAUAACGUAGGGAAACUUACGCUAAUACCGCAUACGACCUACGGGUGAAAGUGGGGGACCUUCGGGCCUCACGCAGAGAGAUGAGCCGACGCCGGAUUAGCUAGUUGGCGGGGUAAAGGCCCACCAAGGCGACGAUCCGUAGCUGGUCUGAGAGGAUGAUCAGCCACACUGGAACUGAGACACGGUCCAGACUCCUACGGGAGGCAGCAGUGGGGAAUAUUGGACAAUGGGCGCAAGCCUGAUCCAGCCAUGCCGCGUGUGUGAAGAAGGCCUUCGGUU
rnacentral:rRNA from 1 species